rnacentral:rRNA from 1 species
AUUGAACGCUGGCGGCAGGCCUAACACAUGCAAGUCGAGCGGAUGCAGGGAGCUUGCUCCUGGAUUCCGCGGCGGACGGGGGAGUAAUGCCUAGGAAUCUGCCUGGUAGUGGGGGAUAACGUCCGGAAACGGGCGCUAAUACUGCAUACGUCCUGCGGGAGAAAGCGGGGGAGCUUCGGACCCCGUGCUCUCAGAUGCGCCUAGGUCGGAUUAGCUAGUUGGUGGGGUAAAGGCCUACCCAGGCGACGAUCCGUAACUGGUCUGAGAGGAUGAUCAGUCACACUGGAACUGAGACACGGUCCAGACUCCUACGGGAGGCAGCAGUGGGGAAUAUUGGACAAAGGGCGAAAGCCUGAUCCAGCCAUGCCGCGUGUGUGAAGAAGGUCUUCGGAUUGUAAAGCACUUUAAGUUGGGAGGAAGGGCAGUAAGUUAAUACCUUGCUGUAUUGACGUUACCAACAGAAUAAGCACCGGCUAACUUCGUG